GACGAACGCUGGCGGCGUGCUUAACACAUGCAAGUCGAACGGAAAGGCCCUGCUUUUGUGGGGUGCUCGAGUGGCGAACGGGUGAGUAACACGUGAGUAACCUGCCCUUGACUUUGGGAUAACUUCAGGAAACUGGGGCUAAUACCGGAUAGGAGCUCCUGCUGCAUGGGGGGGGUUGGAAAGUUUCGGCGGUUGGGGAUGGACUCGCGGCUUAUCAGCUUGUUGGUGGGGUUGUGGCUUACCAAGGCUUUGAUGGGUAGCCGGCCUGAGAGGGUGACCGGCCACCUUGGGACUGAGAUACGGCCCAGUCUCCUACGGGAGGCAGCAGUGGGGAAUAUUGCACAAUGGGCGCACGCCUGAUGCAGGAACGCCGCGUGCGGGAUGACGGCCUUCGGGUUGUAAACCGCUUUCGCCUGUGACGAAGCGUGAGUGACGGUAAUGGGUAAAGAAGCACCGGCUAACUACGUG
rnacentral:rRNA from 1 species